GAAUUCGCCCUUAGAGUUUGAUCCUGGCUCAGGACGAACGCUGGCGGCGCGCCUAACACAUGCAAGUCGAACGGAGCUUAGAGAGCUUGCUUUUUAAGCUUAGUGGCGAACGGGUGAGUAACGCGUGAGUAACCUGCCCUAGAGUGGGGGACAACAGUUGGAAACGACUGCUAAUACCGCAUAAGCCCACGGUACCGCAUGGUACUGAGGGAAAAGGAUUUAUUCGCUUUAGGAUGGACUCGCGUCCAAUUAGCUAGUUGGUGAGGUAACGGCCCACCAAGGCGACGAUUGGUAGCCGGACUGAGAGGUUGAACGGCCACAUUGGGACUGAGACACGGCCCAGACUCCUACGGGAGGCAGCAGUGGGGAAUAUUGCACAAUGGGGGAAACCCUGAUGCAGCGACGCCGCGUGAGUGAAGAAGUAUUUCGGUAUGUAAAGCUCUAUCAGCAGGGAAGAAAGUGACGGUACCUGAAUAAGAAGCCCCGGCUAACUACGUGCCAGCAGCCGCGGUAAUACGUAGGGGGCAAGCGUUAUCCGGAUUUACUGGGUGUAAAGGGAGCGUAGACGGCAAGGCAAGUCUGAAGUGAAAGCCCGGUGCUUAACGCCGGGACUGCUUUGGAAACUGUUUAGCUGGAGUGCCGGAGAGGUAAGCGGAAUUCCUAGUGUAGCGGUGAAAUGCGUAGAUAUUAGGAAGAACACCAGUGGCGAAGGCGGCUUACUGGACGGUAACUGACGUUGAGGCUCGAAAGCGUGGGGAGCAAACAGGAAUAGAUACCCUGGUAGUCCACGCCGUAAACGAU
rnacentral:rRNA from 1 species